rnacentral:tRNA from 1 species
GCAGUGAUGGUUCAGAGGUACAAUUCUCGCCUUCUAUGUGGGAGACCGAGGUUCAAUUCCCAGCCAAUGUA